GACGAACGCUGGCGGCGUGCCUAAUACAUGCAAGUCGAACGAACCGCGACUAGGUGCUUGCACUUGGUCAAGGUGAGUGGCGAACGGGUGAGUAACACGUGGGUAACCUACCUCAUAGUGGGGGAUAACAGUCGGAAACGACUGCUAAUACCGCAUAGGACAUAGGAUCACAUGAUCCAGUGAGGAAAGGUGGCGCAAGCUAUCGCUAAGAGAUGGACCCGCGGUGCAUUAGCUAGUUGGUAGGGUAAAGGCCUACCAAGGCGAUGAUGCAUAGCCGACCUGAGAGGGGGAUCGGCCACAUUGGGACUGAGACACGGCCCAAACUCCUACGGGAGGCAGCAGUAGGGAAUCUUCCGCAAUGGACGCAAGUCUGACGGAGCAACGCCGCGUGAGUGAAGAAGGUCUUCGGAUCGUAAAGCUCUGUUGUUAGAGAAGAACAGCGCAUAGAGUAACUGUUAUGCGUGUGACGGUAUCUAACCAGAAAGCCACGGCUAACUACGUG
rnacentral:rRNA from 1 species